rnacentral:pre_miRNA from 1 species
AGGAGGAACAGCCCCAGUGGCGGGGCCAGCUCUGGAAACCUGGAUUCAGCUCCGGCAGGAACUCCGUCUGCAGGGCCUGGAGGCUCCAGGGUGGG